rnacentral:rRNA from 1 species
UGAAUACGAGACGCUACGGCGUCGAAGCAGUCUAUGUCAUACUUCCAAGAAAAGCUCGCAAUGUCAUAAACAAAUAAUGCCUGUACCAUAACCGACACAGGUGGGUAGGUAGAGUAUACUAAGGGGCGCGAGAUAACUCUCUCUAAGGAACUCGGCAAAAUGACUCCGUAACUUCGGGAGAAGGAGUGCCUUAUUUAUAAGGUUGCAAUAACAAGAUCCAAGCAACUGUUUAUCAAAAACACAGGUCUCCGCUAAGUCGUAAGACGAUGUAUGGGGGCUGACGCCUGCCCAGUGCCAGAAGGUUAAAGAAGUUGGUUAGCAUUCGCGAAGCUGAUAACUGAAGCCCUGGUGAACGGCGGCCGUAACGAUAACGGUCCUAAGGUAGCGAAAUUCCUUGUCGGGUAAGUUCCGACCCGCACGAAAGGCGUAAUGAUUUGGAUACUGUCUCGGAGAGGGGCUCGGUGAAAUAGACUUGUCUGUGAAGAUGCGGACUACCUGCACCUGGACAGAAAGACCCUAUGAAGCUUUACUGUAACUUGAAAUUGAAAUUGGACUUUAUUUGCGCAGCAUAGGUGGGAGGCGUUGAGAGUAUUCUUGCGGGAAUAUUGGAGCCAUCAGUGAGAUACCACUCUUGUAAUGUUAGAUUUCUAACUUUGGAUCAUUAUCUGGUCAAAGAACAGUUUCAGGCGGGCAGUUUGACUGGGGCGGUCGCCUCCCAAAUGGUAACGGAGGCGUACAAAGGUUUCCUCUGAACGGGUAGAAAUCGUAUCUAGAGUGUAAAGGCAUAAGGAAGCUUGACUGUGAGACCUACAAGUCGAGCAGGGACGAAAGUCGGUCUUAGUGAUCUGACGGUGCUGAGUGGAAAGGCCGUCACUCAACGGAUAAAAGUUACUCUAGGAUAACAGGCUGAUCUCCCCCAAGAGUUCACAUCGACGGGGAGGUUUGGCACCUCGAUGUCGGCUCAUCGCAUCCUGGGGCGGUAGUACGUCCCAAGGGUUGGGCUGUUCGCCCAUGAAAGCGGUACGCGAGCUGGGUUCAGAACGUCGUGAGACAGUUCGGUCCAUAUCCGGUGUAGGCGUUAGAAUAUUGAGAGGAGCCUUCUUUAGUACGAGAGGACCGAGAAGGACAUACCUCUGGUGUACCAGUUAUCGUGCCAACGGUAAACGCUGGGUAGCUAUGUAUGGAGAGGAUAACCGCUGAAAGCAUCUAAGUGGGAAGCCCACCUCAAGAUAAGUAUUCUC